rnacentral:rRNA from 1 species
CAGCAGCCGCGGUAAUACGUAGGUGGCGAGCGUUGUCCGGUAUCAUUGGGCGUAAAGGGAGCGCAGGCGGGCAUGUAAGUCUUUCUUAAAAGUGCGGGGCUCAACCCCGUGAUGGGAAAGAAACUACAUGUCUUGAGUACAGGAGAGGAAAGCGGAAUUCCCAGUGUAGCGGUGAAAUGCGUAGAUAUUGGGAGGAACACCAGUGGCGAAGGCGGCUUUCUGGACUGCAACUGACGCUGAGGCUCGAAAGCCAGGGGAGCGAACGGGAUUAGAUACCCCAGUAGUCCCUGUCUCUUAUACA